rnacentral:lncRNA from 1 species
UAUAACCUAAUGCUUUGAUACCAACCUGUGACGCCCCCAAAUCCGGGUAUCUUCCAACCCGACAGAUGGUGCUACACGGUGCUACAGUUCACAUAAACAUUCAAUUGAAAUGCCUCAAAAGAACGGAUAUGUCUUAUAUAUAUCAAAAGAAUAUUUAUAUUCCCCAGGUUCUUUACAACCAAUACAUUGUCUUUGUCAUAAUAUCAGUAUUAUUCCUUACAAAACCUAUACUAUUACAUAUGUAAUCUACGGGUUCGCCUUCGCCUUCCUUUUAUCCUUGCCGGAUCCAUCGGUCCAUUUGGUCUUAGCUACAUUCAUAUGCUUCAAGCAAGAAUGAGCCUAACUAGCUCAGCAAGUACAACAAUUCUAGGAAAAUAGCAUACUUGAAACAUAGUGAUCGUAUAUCUUCAAUAACUGAACAAUGGUUACGAAGUACUAUUGAUAAUUCAAAAUAGCACUUCUUUUCAUUCAAAACGUUUUACAACAACAAUAUUCAGUAAAACAUCAAUUUCGGUUCAAGACCGUAAGCAUUUCAUAAGUACUUUGAAAAGGACAUCCCAGCACGAAGUCUAUAAGUCCGGCAUAGCUUACGAG